rnacentral:lncRNA from 1 species
GUCCAGUGAUUAGAAAGGGGUGAUUAAGAUAUUGAUUCAAAGUCCAUUUAAAAGUGAUGUCUUACAGGAAUAUUGGAAGAUCAAUACGUGAGUCUCCAAACCGUAGCAUGGAUUCAACAAGAAGUAAUAAUAGUGUACGAUAGUGCAAGUGUAGUCUCUUAACUAAAAUGUGAACUUCAUGGAUUGACGACAAUCUUGAAAGAAGAUUCGAAGAUUGUCGAAACUAUCAGAUAACUUUGAUCAAUGUUGUAGC